UUCUGCAGCGUCAUGCGGUGGUGCAGGUU
rnacentral:sRNA from 1 species